GCUGCGGUCCCUGACUUGCCUGUUAUAACUUCCAAUAUUUUUUUAGAUUUGAGACGUAUGAUUCAAUGCCAUUUGCAAGUAAAUAGACCACGUAAUACCAUAAUCAAAAAACUUAGGUGAGAAGUUAGAUUAUACAAAAAAGAAUACACCUGCAGUCAUGUCUUACAAUUACAUCGUGACUGCACAAGAAGCAACAGCCAUCAAUGCAGCAGUGACAGGACAUUUCACUGGCCCUGAUGACUUAAACUUGAUAACUGCAAAGAAUUCUCGAUUAGAAGUGUACCUAGUAACACCAGAGGGACUUCAGCCAAAAAUGGAGAUGAAUAUAAAUGGUCGUAUUGCAACCAUGCAGUUAUUUCGACCGCCUAAUGAACCACAAGAUUUGUUGUUUUUGUUAACUGAAAGAUACCGUAUUGCAAUUUUGGGAUUUAAACCAGAAACAGGAGAUAUUGUUACAAAAGCAUAUGGAGAUGUACAAGAUAAGAUUGGUAGAUUAUGUGAUACUGGAAUGAUUGGUAUAAUAGACCCACAAUGCCGUGUAAUUGCGUUACAUAUAUAUGAUGGAUUGUUAAAAGUGAUACCAUUAGAACUUGGAACAAAUAUUGAGCUGAAGGCUUUUAAUAUAAGACUGGAAGAAUUAAAAAUUGUUGAUAUUCAGUUUCUGCAUGGUUUUGAUGUCCCAACAAUUAUUUUUGUCUACCAAGACACUCAUGGAAGACAUGUAAAAACUUAUGGUAUAUCUUUACGUGAUAAAGAGUUUGUUCGAGGACCUUGGAAACAAGACAAUGUUGAACUUGAAGCCUGCAUGGUUGUAACAGUACCCAGUCCCAUUGAAGGUGCAUUAAUCGUUGGAGAAGAAUCCAUUACAUAUCAUAAAGGUGAAACAUACUUGGCUGUUGCACCUCCAGCUAUAAAACAAAGCACUCUUACUUGUUACGGUCGUGUUGACAAAGAUGGAUUACGCUACCUUCUUGGAGAUAUGUCAGGUCGUCUGUUUAUGUUAUUUCUGGAGAAACAAACUCUGCCAGAUGGUAGUGUGGAAGUAAAAGAUUUAAAAGUUGAACUUUUGGGCGAGACUUCAAUUCCUCACUGUCUAACAUACUUAGACAAUGGUGUUGUUUUUAUUGGUUCCACUCUUGGAGAUUCUCAGAUUGUACAGCUUACAACAGAAGCCAAUGAAAAUGGCUCUUUUGUGUCUGUGAUGAAGUCAUUUCCAAAUUUGGGACCUAUUUUAGACAUGUGUGUUGUUGACCUAGAAAGACAAGGUCAAGGUCAGCUCGUCACAUGUUCUGGUGGACUUAAAGAAGGCUCCCUGCGAAUUAUUCGAAACGGAAUUGGAAUCCACGAACACGCUUCUAUUGAUUUAGAUGGAAUUAUGGGACUUUGGGCAUUAAAAGUUGGCUCAGUAAACACAGAAUUUGAUGACACAUUGGUUUUAUCUUUUGUUGGUCAAUCAAGAGUGUUAUCAUUAAGUAGUGAUGAAGUAGAAGAGAUUGAUAUUGAUGGGUUUGAUGGCGAUAAACAAACAACAUUUUGUGGUAAUGUGUGUUGUCAACAAAUUGUGCAGGUGACAGAACACUCAGCUCGACUCAUCAACUGUCUCACAAAAUCACUUGUCUACGAAUGGAAACAUGCUGGUGGUCGAAACAUUAGCGUGGUGGCUUGUUAUGGUCAGCAACUGUUACUUGCAGUUGGAAAAGAAGUAUUUUAUUUGGAAGUACAAGAUGGGAACUUGCACCAAGUCAGUUCAACUGUUUUGGAAUACGAAGUUGCUUGUCUUGACGUCACACCAGAAGUCAAAAAAGAGAAAUCAGACGUUGUUGCUGCGGGUUUGUGGACAGACAUCUCCAUUCGCAUAUUAAAGCUACCUACCAUGGAAGAAAUAUCAAAAGUUAAGCUCGGUGGAGAAAUCAUACCUCGAUCAAUCCAAAUGUCAAAUUUUGAAGGAAUUAAUUACUUGUUGUGUUCACUCGGUGAUGGUUCCUUGUUCUAUUAUAUUCACGACAGAACUACAGGUGCUUUAACUGAACAGAAGAAAGUCACACUUGGUACUAAACCAACUGUGAUUCAGCCUUUCAAAUCUGGCACCGCAACAAACGUGUUUGCAUGUUCAGACCGUCCUACCGUGAUAUACUCGAGCAAUCACAAACUAGUCUUUUCAAAUGUCAAUUUAAAAGAGGUGUGCUACAUGAGUCAACUUCAUUCUCAAACUUAUCCAAACAGUCUUGCUAUCGCCGACAAAAACUGUUUAACCUUUGGUUCGAUUGAUGAAAUCCAACAAAAACUUCAUAUCAGAAAAGUACCUUUAUAUGAAAGUCCAAGGAGGAUAGCUUACCAAGAAGCAACUCAGACAUUUGGUGUGAUAUCUGCUAGAACAGAAAUACGCGACCCUUACAGCGGUAAAAGUGUGGUGCAAAGACCCUCGGCCAGUUGUACGGCUUCUUCCAUCACAUACAGUUCUGGCGAUGCUAAUAAGGGAGUUCUAACUGGAACGAGUAAAGAUAUCGAGGGAGGAGCAAUAGGCGAAGAGAUCGAGGUAUCAUCCUUCCUCGUAAUCGAUCAGCACACGUUUGAAGUAACCCAUUCACACCAACUUCUUGACAAAGAAUAUGCAACUUCACUGACGACUUGUCAGCUAGCGAACGAUUCCAACAUUUAUUACUGUGUCGGAACAGCCAUGGUACAUCAAGAAGAACCCGAACCCAAAGAGGGCCGACUUAUUCUAUUUCAGUUAGUUGAAGGUAAGUUAAUACAAAUUUCAAGUAAAGAUGUGAAAGGAGCUGUGUACUCGUUAUUGGAGUUUAAUGGUAAAAUCUUGGCUGGCAUUAACAGUGCUGUUUCCAUCUACGAGUGGACGGCUGACAAAGAACUUCGUCAAGAGUGUUGUUAUCAUAACACGAUACUUGCAUUAUUUUUAAAAGCAAAAGGAGAUUUCAUAUUGGUUGGCGAUCUGAUGCGGUCUAUAACUCUUCUUUCAUACAAACCUUUGGAAGGUCGCCUUGAAGAGAUUGCGCAUGAUUUUUCACCAAAUUGGAUGACAGCUGUUGAAAUAAUCGACGAUGACACAUUUCUCGGUGCUGAGAAUUCUUAUAACUUGUUUACUUGUCAGAAAGACAGCGCUGCUACCAGUGACGAAGAUCGUCAUCAUCUGCAGCAAACGGGAAAAUAUCAUCUUGGUGACUUUGUGAAUGUUUUCAGACAUGGAUCACUGGUAAUGCAUCACACCAUAGAACAAUCAACACCCAUCUCAAACUCGAUUUUAUAUGGAACAGUUCGCGGCUCAAUCGGUCUUGUUGCUGGUUUGCCGAAAGACAUGUUCGACUUUUUGUCCCAAGUACAGAAGAAGUUGAGUUCUUAUAUCAAAAGCGUGGGUAAAAUAGAGCACUUAUUUUGGCGAUCCUUCCACAACGAUCGCAAAACAGAACCUGCCGUCGGUUGUAUUGAUGGCGAUCUGAUAGAAAGUUUUCUCGAUUUGCCGAGAGCACAAAUGAAAGAUAUUGUCAAUGGCUUACAAAUUAACGAAGAUGGAAUGAAAAGAGAUUGUACUGAAGAUGACCUAAUAAAGAUUGUAGAAGAACUUAACAGGAUCCAUUAAACACCGCGAACUUGGUCCACUAUAUCAUAUAGUUCCACGGAGACAAAUGCAAUUCCAUACAGUCAAAUUCUUAUGACGAAUCUCAGGAAAUGUAUAUAUAAAAAAAAACAUUGUUAUCUAGAAAUCGACUUUGAAGACCAUUCUGUGAAGAGCAGGUUCUCCUCUGCAUCUUUUUAACUAAGAACUGAAGCUGUAUUAAAAGUAUGAUUCUCCUGAAGGAUUAAAAUAAUACGGAGAUAGUGUUGAUUCACCAUGUACUUUGUCAAAAAAAAAAAUAAUAAUAGAAAAUCCACGAAAUUAAGUUCCACAAAUUAA